rnacentral:rRNA from 1 species
CACGUAGGCGGCUUGGUAAGUCAGAUGUGAAAGCCCGGGGCUUAACCCCGGAAGUGCAUUUGAUACUGUCAGGCUUGAGUAUGGGAGAGGGAAGUGGAAUUCCUGGUGUAGAGGUGAAAUUCGUAGAUAUCAGGAGGAACACCGGUGGCGAAGGCGACUUCCCGGACCAAUACUGACGCUGAGGUGCGAAGGCGUGGGUAGCAAACA